CCUUUGUUGGUGGAGUUCUCUACUGGAGCAGCAGCGUCUAGCUUGGCUCCAGGUGCUGGAUCAGCGGCAGCAGCAUCUGCCUUGGUUCCAGGCGCUAGAUCAGCAGCAACAGCAUCUGAUUUGCUAGCAGGCUCAGCAUCUGAUUUGGCUUCAGGUGCUGGAGCAGUGACAGCAGCAGGCUCAGCAUCUGGUUUGGUUUCAGACGCUGGAGCAACGACAGCAGCAGGCUCAGCAUCUAAUUUGGCUUCAGGUGCUGGAGCAGUGACAGCAGCAAGAUCGGCAUCUGAUUUGGUUUCAGGUGCCGGAGCAUCAACAGCAACAGGCUCGGCAUCUGAUUUGGUUUCAGGUGCUGGAGCAGGAACAACAGCAGGCUCAGCAGGAGCAGGAGCUGAGUUCUCAGUUGGGUUGCUUACUGGAGCUGGAGCCACAGCUUCAUGCUCAGCUGGCUUGGCAUCUCCUUUCUUAUCCUCCGUUGGUGCAGGAAGAGCUACAACAGAUUCAGCUG
rnacentral:lncRNA from 1 species